rnacentral:rRNA from 1 species
CGGUAAUUCCAGCUCCAAGAGCGUAUAUUAAAGUUGUUGCAGUUAAAAAGCUCGUAGUUGAACCUUGGAGGCGCCGUGCCGGUCCGCUUAGGCGAGCACUGGAGGCGGCGCCUCUUUCCUCCUCCUCUUAGCAAUAAGAGGAGGACUGUUACUUUGAGUAAAUGAGAGUGUUCAAAGCAGGCGCACGCUUGAAUCUGUUAGCAUGGAAUAAUAGAAUAGGACGCAUGGUUCUAUUUUGUUGGUUUCUAGGACCAUCGUAAUGAUUAAUAGGGACGGUCGGGGGCAUCAGUAUUCAGUUGUCAGAGGUGAAAUUCUUGGAUUUACUGAAGACUAACUACUGCGAAAGCAUUUGCCAAGGACGUUUUCAUUAAUCAAGAACGAAAGUUAGGGGAUCGAAGAUGAUCAGAUACCGUCGUAGUCUUAACCAUAAACUAUGCCGACUAGGGAUCGGGCGGCGUUCAUUUAGUGACGCGCUCGGCACCUUACGAGAAAUCAAAGUCUUUGGGUUCUGGGGGGAGUAUGGUCGCAAGGCUGAAACUUAAAGGAAUUGACGGAAGGGCACCACCAGGAGUGGAGCCUGCGGCUUAAUUUGACUCAACACGGGGAAACUCACCAGGUCCAGACACAAUAAGGAUUGACAGAUUGAGAGCUCUUUCUUGAUUUUGUGGGUGGUGGUGCAUGGCCGUUCUUAGUUGGUGGAGUGAUUUGUCUGCUUAAUUGCGAUAACGAACGAGACCUUGACUCUUAAAUAGGGUGUAUAACAAUUUGUUGUAUGAUUCUUCUUAAGAGGACUAUCAGGAAAAACCUGAUGGAGGUUCGAGGCAAUAACAGGUCUGUGAUGCCCUUAGACGUUCUGGGCCGCACGCGCGCUACACUGAUACAGCCAGCGAGUCUAUACCCUUGUCCGAGAGGACUAGGUAAUCUUGUUAAACUGUAUCGUGCUGGGGAUAGAGCUUUGCAAUUUUUGCUCUUGAACGAGGAAUUCCUAGUAAGCGCAAGUCAUCAGCU